UACGUAGGGGGCAAGCGUUGUCCGGAUUUAUUGGGCGUAAAGAGCGUGUAGGCGGCCAUGCAGGUCCGUUGUGAAAACUCGAGGCUCAACCUCGAGACGUCGAUGGAAACCGCAUGGCUAGAGUCCGGAAGAGGAGAGUGGAAUUCCUGGUGUAGCGGUGAAAUGCGUAGAUAUCGGGAGGAACAUCAGUGGCGAAGGCGGCCAUCUGGACCAACACUGACACUGAGGCACAAAAGCGUGGGUAGCAAACAGG
rnacentral:rRNA from 1 species